CGUUCUCCGAAUGCCCCUACAGCUUAAUUUGAUCAUGGCUCAGAUUGCACGGUGGGUAACAGGCCUAACACAUGCAAGUCGAGCGGAUGACGGGACUUGCUCCUUGAUUCAGCGGCGGACGGGUGAGUAAUGCCUAGGAAUCUAGCCUAGGUAGUGGGGGACAACGUUUCGAAAGGAACGCUAAUACCGCAUACGUCCUACGGGAGAAAGCAGGGGACCUUCGUGGCCUUGCGCUAUCAGAUGAGCCUAGGUCGGAUUAGCUAGUUGGUGAGGUAAUGGCUCACCAAGGCGACGAUCCGUAACUGGUCUGAGAGGAUGAUCAGUCACACUGGAACUGAGACACGGUCCAGACUCCUACGGGAGGCAGCAGUUGGGGAAUAUUGGACAAUGGGCGAAAGCCUGAUCCAGCCAUGCCGCGUGUGUGAACGAAGGUCUUCGGAUUUGUAAAGCACUUUAAAGUUGGGAGGAAGGGCAGUAAGUUAAUACCUUGCUGUUUUGGACGUUACCGACAGAAUAAGCACCGGCUAACUCUGUGCCAGCAGCCGCGGUAAUACAGAGGGUGCAAGCGUUAAUCGGAAUUACUGGGCGUAAAGCGCGCGUAGUGUGGUUUGUUAAGUUGGAUGUGAAAGCCCCGGGCUCNAACCUGGAACUGGCUUCCCAAACUNGGCAGCAGAGUACGGGCAGAAGGGUGG
rnacentral:rRNA from 1 species